rnacentral:lncRNA from 1 species
UUAGCCAGGGGUCCCAUGGAGAGGGAAGUAGAGGAAGGCCAUGAGGAAAAGAGAAAAGAUGUUAGCGAUGUUAGCGAUACCACGUGAAGAGACCAGAGGAGGCUAUGAGGCAGUGGGGGAAUUCUGAUGAGCAGGCUGCCAGGGGAUUCACCAUAAGGACACACUUGGAGCAAAGCAAGCCAAGUGUUGAAGCCUGGGCUCUCCCUCAAACUUGCUGUGUAGCCAGUGUACUAGUCUGCUGCCGCUCGGCUGUGAUAAGACAAGACCAAGAGUAACGUGGAGAAGAAAGUCCAGGUCUACCUGCCCAAGGAUGGAACUGCCCAUGAUGCGCUGGCCUCUCCUGUGUCAAUGAGUGGUCAAGAAAAUGCACAAGUCCACAGAACUAUCCAAUGGAAGCAGUUUUUCAGUUGAGGUUCCUUCUUCCAGAAGUGUCAUGUUACAAACAAAACUAACCAAAAC